rnacentral:misc_RNA from 1 species
ACUCGUGCAGCAGCAGCAAUAGCAAUGCCAAUGAUAGCACCACUAGAAUCGGUUUGAUGUUGCAAUAACAAAGGUUACUGCAUAGGGACUUGCUGUAAAUUUUAGGAAGUGUGAUUAGCCUAACUUGUUUUAAUUUGUUAAUGGAUUUCAUAUGAUGUGAAUGGGAUUAACAAAGAGGAACCUUUUAUCAGCUUUUUGAGGAGUUUGCAAGAAAGGGCUGUGUUUAUUCAAAUGGAACUCUUUAUUUUUCUUAUAUUGGCACCUUGUCUGUCACCUUGUCUGUGUCUUUUUUACUGUUACUGACUAGUUAUG